UCUAACGCAUGCUUCAAUCACCGACGCGUGCAGAGCUAGCCGUGCACUGGCGUCCAUGCAAGUGGCCAUGCACUGGAGCUUUCACACGCGGAUGUGUUAAAGCCAACCACCCCACCCGUCUAGCUGCGCACAUAUUUAAUGCAGUACACCCCCCACAACGCUGUAGAUGAAACAAGCUCCAUUGCAAACCACAUCGAAGGUUUCCUGAUCUCUCCCGGCGACGCCGCAGGCAGGCUCUGGCGCACAGCAAGGCUUUGAAUCAAAUCGAUGGGCGGAGAAGUUCAUCAAGAACGGGGCAACCAGCAAGACACAGGCUUUGAAUCAACUCCGGUCAUCAUGAACAGAAAGAGAAUGCAGCACGGAGAACCAGCAAUCCAGACGGGAUCAUCAAGCAGUGCGCAGGGUGUCUCGGGAGAAGAUAAACGCGCUACACAGAAAUCAAGACACGAAGCACGGUGAUGAUCAGGGAUCACGAUCACGAUGAGAUGAAAUACAGGAGCUAGGCAGCUUGGCUCAGAUUCUACUGUUAGCCAAGGUUCCAUUCAGUCACUCCCAUGUACUUUGUUUACUUCAAUCCUACUUCGGACAAACCCCAGGCAAGCUGUUUUUUAAUACUCACAAACUGUCGGAUCACCAGCAGUGAUAGAUCUAUUUAUAUUUUGUUGAUAA